rnacentral:sRNA from 1 species
AUCACUGGACGAAGAAAGAUACCGUGAAUCCCUUUUUUCUGGUGCUCUGGGGGUUUACUUGGCCAAAUGGGUUUUGGGCCACCGGGUGUCCUGUAUUUGGGCUAGAUGUAAGAAGUAUGGAUGGCACUGCUCCUCCCCACGGUGAACUCACAGCCACAUGGCAUAAUGGAGAAUGGGACACACAUCACACCCCAUGACAGCAGGGUAGCUCAGAGCAAGAAUGACCUCCAGAACAGGGUAGCCAUGCAGUGAUGGCCUCUUCAGACAUUUGGGCAAGGUUCCGCCUUUCGAGAAAAACACAGGUCCUUUCUGAAUUCGGCCUGGCUAUACUUUCUGAAUGCCAGUUCCUGUGUGCUGCCACUCUGAGCUUGAUCCUGGGAUCUCCUGAUUGGAUGCUGCAUAAUGUCUCUUGCAGAAUGAAGAGGAAGUCUUAGUGGAGUGUCGCGUGCGAUUCCUGUCCUUCAUGGGUGUUGGGAAGGAUGUCCACACAUUUGCCUUCAUCAUGGAUACAGGGAACCAGCGCUUUGAGUGCCACGUUUUCUGGUGCGAGCCUAAUGCUGGUAACGUGUCUGAGGCGGUGCAGGCCGCCUGCAUGUUACGAUAUCAGAAGUGCUUGGUAGCCAGGCCGCCUUCUCAGAAAGUUCGACCACCUCCACCGCCAGCAGACUCAGUGACCAGAAGAGUCACAACCAAUGUAAAACGAGGGGUCUUAUCCCUCAUUGACACUUUGAAACAGAAACGCCCUGUCACCGAAACGCCAUAGCUGCACAUGCGAAAGGACUCGGCUAUUUACCUGAAGAUUGACUAGCUACACUAAAGAAAAUGAACUCCGCCAUCUGACCUUCCAUCCAGUUGCUGAUGCUUUGUCUUCAGAGAAUUUAC